rnacentral:rRNA from 1 species
ACGUAGGGUGCGAGCGUUGUCCGGAAUUAUUGGGCGUAAAGGGCUCGUAGGCGGUCCAUCACGUCGGGAGUGAAAAGCUGGGGCUUAACCCCAGUCCUGCUUCCGAUACGGGUGGACUAGAGGUAGGUAGGGGAGAUCGGAAUUCCUGGUGUAGCGGUGAAAUGCGCAGAUAUCAGGAGGAACACCGGUGGCGAAGGCGGAUCUCUGGGCCUUACCUGACGCUGAGGAGCGAAAGCAUGGGGAGCAAACAGGAUUAGAUACCCUGGUAGUCCAUGCCGUAAACGUUGGGCGCUAGGUGUGAGGGACAUUCCACGUCCUUCGUGCCGCAGCUAACGCAUUAAGCGCCCCGCCUGGGGAGUACGGCCGCAAGGCUA